rnacentral:rRNA from 1 species
GAGUUUGAUCCUGGCUCAGGACGAACGCUGGCGGCGUGCUUAACACAUGCAAGUCGAACGGUAAGGCCCCUUCGGGGGUACACGAGUGGCGAACGGGUGAGUAACACGUGAGCAACCUGCCCUUGACUCUGGAAUAACAGCUGGAAACAGCUGCUAAUACCGGAUACGACGCGUCUCGACAUCGAGACACGUGGAAAGCUCCGGCGGUCAGGGAUGGGCUCGCGGCCUAUCAGCUAGUUGGUGAGGUAACGGCUCACCAAGGCUUCGACGGGUAGCCGGCCUGAGAGGGCGACCGGCCACACUGGGACUGAGAUACGGCCCAGACUCCUACGGGAGGCAGCAGUGGGGAAUAUUGCACAAUGGGCGAAAGCCUGAUGCAGCAACGCCGCGUGCGGGAUGACGGCCUUCGGGUUGUAAACCGCUUUCAGCUCCGACGAAGCGCAAGUGACGGUAGGAGCAGAAGAAGGACCGGCCAACUACGUGCCAGCAGCCGCGGUGAUACGUAGGGUCCGAGCGUUGUCCGGAAUUAUUGGGCGUAAAGGGCUUGUAGGCGGUUUGUCGCGUCGGAAGUGAAAACUCAGGGCUCAACCCUGAGCGUGCUUUUGAUACGGGCAAACUACAGGGAUGCAGUGGAGAACGUAAUUCCUGGUGCAGCGGUGCAACGCGCAGAUCUCAAGAGGAACACCGGUGGCGAAGGCGAUUCUCUGGGCAUUACCCUGACGCUGAGAAGCGAAAGCGUGGGGAGCAAACAGGCUUAGAUACCCUGGUAGUACACGUCCGUAAACGGUGGGCAGUAGGUGUGGGCGACAUUCCACGUUCUCCGUGUCGAAGCUAACGCAUUAAGUGCCCCGCCUGGUGAGUCCUGCCGCAAGGCUAAAACUCAAAGGAAUUGACGGGGGUCCGCACAAGCGGUGGAGCAUGCGGACUAAUUCGAUGCAACGCGAAGAACCUUACCUGGGUUUGACAUAUGCCGGAAAGCUGCAGAGAUGUAGCCCCCGCAAGGUCGGUAUACAGGUGGUGCAUGGCUGUCGUCAGCUCGUGUCGUGAGAUGUUGGGUUAAGUCCCGCAACGAGCGCAACCCUCGUCCUAUGUUGCCAGCGGAUAAUGCCGGGGACUCAUAGGAGACUGCCGGGGUAAUCUCGGAGGAAGGUGGGGAUGUCGUCAAGUCAUCAUGCUCAUUAAGUCCAGGGCUUCACGCAUGCUACAAUGGCUGGUACAAAGGCCUGCAAUACCGCAAGGUUGAGCGAAUCCCAAAAAGCCAGUCUCAGUUCGGAUUGGGGUCUGCAACUCGACCCCAUGAAGUCGGAGUCGCUAGUAAUCGCAGAUCAGCAACGCUGCGGUGAAUACGUUCCCGGGCCUUGUACACGCCGCCCGUCAAGUCAUGAAAGUCGGUAACACCCGAAGUCGGUGGCCCAACCUCUUGAAGGAGGGAGCCGUUGAAGGUGGGACUGGCGAUUAGGGGUAAGUCUUAACAAGGUAACCGUAACGGAAGUUGCGGCUGGAUCACCUCCUUUCU